CAGCAGCCGCGGUAAUACGUAGGGUGCGAGCGUUAAUCGGAAUUACUGGGCGUAAAGGGCUCGCAGGCGGUUUCUUAAGUCUGAUGCGAAAGCCCCCGGCUCAACCGGGGAGGGUCAUUGGAAACUGGGAAACUUGAGUGCAGAAGAGGAGAGUGGAAUUCCACAUGCAGCGGUGAAAUGCGUAGAGAUGUGGAGGAACACCAGUGGCGAAGGCGACUCUCUGGUCUGUAACUGACGCUGAGGAGCGAAAGCGUGAGGAGCGAACAGGAUUAGAUACCCCCGUAGUCCCUGUCUCUUAUAC
rnacentral:rRNA from 1 species